rnacentral:rRNA from 1 species
GUGAGAUGUUGGGUUAAGUCCCGUAACGAGCGCAACCCUUGUCCUUAGUUACCAGCACGUAAUGGUGGGCACUCUAAGGAGACUGCCGGUGACAAACCGGAGGAAGGUGGGGAUGACGUCAAGUCAUCAUGGCCCUUACGGCCUGGGCUACACACGUGCUACAAUGGUCGGUACAAAGGGUUGCCAAGCCGCGAGGUGGAGCUAAUCCCAUAAAACCGAUCGUAGUCCGGAUCGCAGUCUGCAACUCGACUGCGUGAAGUCGGAAUCGCUAGUAAUCG